UUUGUAUACAUUAAUGGAUGCUUGAAACAGCCAUACUGAAAUGUAACUUGAACGAGUACUACAUUUUCACAAAAGUAAGCCUAUAUACAUGAAUGAAUAAAUGCACAUGUUAUGAAAAUAAUGUGAUAUAUUUCUUUGUUUAAGAAGGCGACCAACUUUCAAAGGUCCUGCUACUUUUACAAAGGAGGUAGUAUUGCUGGGCGGACCUCACAACAAUGUAGUUGUAAAACACGGAACCAAGCAAUUACUCUAUGAAAGUGGGCAUGUGAUGAAUGCCUUUGAAUUCCACAAGGAGUGGUCGGCUGAAGAACUUCUAGAGAAUAUUAGAUCAGCUUUCAGCAGUCAUCUUCCUCCAGGAGCUAAUUUGGAAAUACUCAUGGCUUGCCACAAUAAACUGAUAGCUCCUUCUCUAAUGAGGAACCAAACACUCAAUGGUUGGAUGAUGAACAAAAUAUUUAAGCAACGCUCUGUCUAUAUUCGCCCCUCGGUUGAAAUCUUGGAUCUGCAAAGGCUGGACCAACAACCUGAAGACUGGGAUAAAACUAAUGUGCCAGAUAAUUCUCAGGAUCCUAACUGUAUUCGUGAAGAGACACUAGUUGCAGAUGAAAUACUUG